rnacentral:rRNA from 1 species
GGGGAAUAUUGGACAAUGGGCGAAAGCCUGAUCCAGCCAUGCCGCGUGAGUGAUGAAGGCCUUAGGGUUGUAAAGCUCUUUCAGUGGGGAUGAUAAUGACAGUACCCACAGAAGAAGCCCCGGCUAACUUCGUGCCAGCAGCCGCGGUAAUACGAAGGGGGCUAGCGUUGUUCGGAUUUACUGGGCGUAAAGCGCACGUAGGCGGAUUGUUAAGUCAGGGGUGAAAUCCCAGAGCUCAACUCUGGAACUGCCUUUGAUACUGGCAAUCUCGAGUCCGGAAGAGGUGAGUGGAACUCCUAGUGUAGAGGUGGAAUUCGUAGAUAUUAGGAAGAACACCAGUGGCGAAGGCGGCUCACUGGUCCGGUACUGACGCUGAGGUGCGACAGCGUGGGGAGCAAAC